UACGAGGGGGGCGAGCGUUGUUCGGAAUUAUUGGGCGUAAAGGGUGCGUAGGCGGUUUGGUAAGUCUCAUGUGAAAUCUAUGGGCUCAACUCAUAGUCUGCAAGGGAAACUGCCGGGCUUGAGUGUGGGAGAGGUGAGUGGAAUUUCCGGUGUAGCGGUGAAAUGCGUAGAUAUCGGAAGGAACACCUGUGGCGAAAGCGGCUCACUGGACCACAACUGACGCUGAUGCACGAAAGCUAGGGGAGCAAACAGG
rnacentral:rRNA from 1 species